UUCCAUGUGGCUGAGAGGCCUCAGGAAACUUACAAUCAUAGCAGAAGGUGAAGCAGGCACGCCUUACAUGGCAGCAGGAGAGAGAGGAGAAAGCAAAGUGGCAAGAGCCUCUUAUAAAACUAUCAGAUCUCAUGAGAACUCACUCACUAACAUGAGAACAGCACGGGGGAAACUGCCCCCAUGAUCCAAUCACCUCCCUCCCUCAACACAUGGGAAUUACAAUUAGAGAGGAGAUUUGGGUUGGGGAUACAAAGCCAAACCAUAUCACAUGGUGUAAAUGCACCUACUCUGCCUCUCCAUUGCUCCUGGAAUCGAGGCUUGCAGAGGUGCCUGUCUGCACCCAUCCUGGAGACGCAUGCUCCCAGUUGUCCAUUCAGGCACACCCAUGGGAACCUCUCCUGAGGUGGGGGUAGGGCACAUGGGGAUUCUGCCCACCCUACAGCGGUGAGUGUUGAGAGGAGCGGACCCUGGAGGGCUCUGCUGUUGUGGGGCUGUUUCCUCAAGCAGCCUGGAGGCUCUGGGAUGACAGAACCGGCUUCUCCUCCUCCUUGGUACCCCUCCCUGUGAUGCCUGCUCAGGCAGAGUGAACAGGCAGGGGCCCACCCUCCCCUUCUGCACUGUCGGUGGCCACACAGCUCCAAAGCCCUCUGCUCUGCACCUGCCUGGCCUCUCAUCUCCCGUGGAACUCAGCCUUGCCUGUUGCAUUCCCUCAGCAUCAAGCAGUGUCCAGGGAGCAUGAACAAGAUAAGUGGCUCCGGGCCAGGGUGGCUGAGGCCAACAGAGGGAGCUGCUUGCAGAGGAAAGGGCACAGGUUUUGGUUUCAUUUAUUCACUGUCACAAUGCCGGCAGCACUCAAAGCCACCGCCAGAAGCGUUGUGGAGAAUCGAAGGGGCAUGAAGAGCUUUGCACCAUGUGACUCUUUUUGAUGAUAGUUACCAGCAAUACCUUCUGGGGACGGUACAACCACGGAACCUACAGUCACUGGAUCAAGCUCUCCCUGCCCAGUGCUUUGAAUCAUGACUGGAGUGAGGGAAAACUGUAUAAAUGGCUACAAACCAAGCCCACUGGUUACAGACAGUGUCUGCUAGCUGUAGACCACGCCUGUUGGUUACAGACCAAGUCCGAUGGUUCUGGUGCACAAGACAGUCCCCGUGACUAAGAAUGACCCAACCACAAAUGCCGGCAGUGCUGUGGUGAAGGAGCCACGCAGGAGAAUGGAGGUGGUAAAAGCAGGCUCACCGGGGUCAAACUGUCCAGUUUUAAGUUCUGGAUCCAACUUUUACGAAUGCUAUGGACUUGGAAAAUUAUAACCUUUCACCGAGCCUCAGUUUCCCCAUCUGUAAAUAAUGGGAUGAUAACGGCACCUGCCUCCUGAUGCAGAGUUGGCUCGGCACAGGGUAGCCAGGGCAGCAUCCCCAGCCCUCUGCACCUCCGGACGGUGAGAGCUCCCUGCUUAAUAACGAGCCGGGCUCUGGGACACUUACCCUCUGCCUUGCCUUGCAUAAGUCACUUUAUCCUUGCAAGGAGCAGUCGCUGGGUUUGUGUUAAAAAUCUAAGCUUAAAAACCAGUGAUUCUUUUAAGGGUGAUGUUGAGCUUAAACUAUGUUGGGACUUGGAAUAAUAAUACAAAGAAGAACUGACUCCAGGGAGGACUUUCUGGGCUAGCACUGUGCUUUGUGCCUGGCAAGCACCCUCUCGUCUCAUCCUGGGAAUAAGGACAUGUUAACUUAGCAGAGAAGAAGAAAUUGAGGCUCAGCGAGCAGGAGGGCCUUGCCGAGGACACAGCUGGCAAAUGGCCGUGUGACCAGAGCCCGCACUUGCAGCGAGACUUCUGUGCUCGCUCUGGUUUCAUCUUUUAAGAGGAACACCCUGCAACGGCCCCGGGGAAGCCCCCCUGCCUUCCUUCACCCCAGGGACCCCAGGAACAUUAGCCAAUAAUGAGAAUUUCUGGUUUCC
rnacentral:lncRNA from 1 species